rnacentral:tRNA from 1 species
GUGAAAGUAGUUCAAUGGCAGAAUGCUGGCUUGCCAGGCCGGGGAUGGGAGUUCGAAUCUCCUCUUUCACU